AACGAACGCUGGCGGCAUGCCUAACACAUGCAAGUCGAACGAGACCUUCGGGUCUAGUGGCGCACGGGUGCGUAACGCGUGGGAACCUGCCCUUAGGUUCGGAAUAACUCCCCGAAAGGGGUGCUAAUACCGGAUAAUGUCUUCGGACCAAAGAUUUAUCGCCUUUGGAUGGGCCGGCGUUGGAUUAGCUAGUUGGUAGGGUAAAAGCCUACCAAGGCGACGAUCCAUAGCUGGUCUGAGAGGAUGAUCAGCCACACUGGGACUGAGACACGGCCCAGACUCCUACGGGAGGCAGCAGUGGGGAAUAUUGGACAAUGGGCGAAAGCCUGAUCCAGCAAUGCCGCGUGAGUGAUGAAGGCCUUAGGGUUGUAAAGCUCUUUUAACCGGGAUGAUAAUGACAGUACCGGGAGAAUAAGCUCCGGCUAACUCCGUG
rnacentral:rRNA from 1 species